CUACGGGUUGCUGCAGUGGGGAAUAUUGGACAAUGGGCGAAAGCCUGAUCCAGCAAUGCCGCGUGAGUGAUGAAGGCCUUAGGGUUGUAAAGCUCUUUUACCAGGGAUGAUAAUGACAGUACCUGGAGAAUAAGCUCCGGCUAACUCCGUGCCAGCAGCCGCGGUAAUACGGAGGGAGCUAGCGUUGUUCGGAAUUACUGGGCGUAAAGAGUACGUAGGCGGUUAUUCAAGUCAGAGGUGAAAGCCUGGAGCUCAACUCCAGAACUGCCUUUGAAACUAGAUAGCUAGAAUUAUGGAGAGGUUAGUGGAAUUCCGAGUGUAGAGGUGAAAUUCGUAGAUAUUCGGAAGAACACCAGUGGCGAAGGCGACUAACUGGACAUAUAUUGACGCUGAGGUACGAAAGCGUGGGGAGCAAACAGGAUUAGAUACCCCGGUAGUC
rnacentral:rRNA from 1 species